rfam:Gossypium hirsutum cultivar TM-1 chromosome 8, whole genome shotgun sequence
UAUUAGGUUUUCUUAAAAACCAUAUAUUUCCUAAUUCAGGAAUAGU